rnacentral:lncRNA from 1 species
AUACACACAUUUCACACUUCGUUUUUUUGAGUUUCCUGGUCUUUUUGUUCCUCCGUUUCGAAAACAUCAUUUAAAAAUGAAUAUGAUCACAGAUUGAGAUACAAAUUCAUAAUUAAUUGAAUCCACACUUUAAGAGCAAGACAAAUGGAUGCAUCUUUAAAAAAAAAUAGUAUAUAUAAUUGUUCAUAGAGAAGUUUUAUUUUAAUGUUCAAUGUUCUUAAAAUGCUAUUGAACUGGUGGAAGUAUCAGCAGCCUGCCAAGCGCUUCUAGGAACGGUUGCCUUUUGAGUGUCGUCGACUUGAUGGAAAUACAGUUUUGUUUGGUGAACUUCAAUCUGUCUCUCAUUGUGAAGCUGUUGAGUGUCAAAUGAGACAUCUGUUCUGUUAUUGUUCUGGGAAUAACCUCGAAUUUUCAACAAGACAGAAACGUACUUUUACUUUCUUUUCUUUGUUAUUUCACUCAUAACGCUUAUAGACUGCGAUUCCAGUCCAGCCUCCACUCGUAGUGUCCCUGGACACUGCUACAGAUGUUGUUCUCUUUACCGGGGAUACUGUGGUCACUGUGUCCUCAUAUGCAACAGGACGAAGCUGCGUAAUACAGACCUGGGGGAAAAGGAGUGGGAUAAUAUUCAACUGUUACUUGACACAGUGGUUCAUGAGUAUCUAUGCUCCUAAAUAUUUUGCAAAAAUGAAUUGCAAUCCAUCCCUUUAAAUAGCAGGCAUAUAGUUUUUCACAGCAUGCUAAACACAACCAAACUGGCAGCCUUUAGUAUUUUGUAUACAUGUACAAUUAUAAUGCAUUUUAUUCAUGAACAAGCAGAUUGCAUAUAGUCUUCUAUUAAGUGAACCACAAAAUAACUACUUUAACAAAGUUUUACAUUCUCCGAUGGGCCCAAGUACAGUUCUGAGGUUUUUUGCAUGUGCUAGAGAGAAUAUAUUCUGGUCUAGGACAUCAUAUUUUGAUAAGACAACACUGUUAGGUGGCUUGAAUUAUGUAAAUAAUUAAUGUAUCAAUCAAUUGCAACUGUAAGGAGAAAGUAUAUAUAAAUCUGGUUCUGAUUACUCGUGCCUCUCUUUGAUUUCAUUAGUUUCGUCAACUUACUAUUUUCUAAUCAUUCAAAAUUGCAGGGGCAGCUGGAGUUAUUGUCGUAUUGCACUCCUUAUGUGAUUAAUUUAAGUUCACAUGUUUUAUUAAUUUUUAUUUACUUCUAUAAAGUCCCUAGAUAAUUUUGUAACAUCUGCCUUUUGUUGUUUUUUCAAAUGACAGUCAAAAGAGUUAUUUAGAACUGCAUGUAUCUAUUAUUUCCCAAAUUUCUUGGUUAGAUGUUUAUGAUUACAUUUAGAAAAUUAAUGCAUUCUGUCCUUUAACUGAUCCAUUCGGCUUUAUGUGGGAUCAGAGUAAUUUUGAAAACCACAAAAGUCCCAAAAUAUAAACAUUUAUGAAUUAUAUAUAAAAGAUAACCGGAGUUAUAAGUUACUCACUUUUAUAAAGUUUCAUACAGGGUUUUGUCAAAACCAUAACAACAACAACACAACGUAUUCAGUUCAUAUAUUUCUGAAACAUUUUGGACUGUGACUGAUUUGGACACCUUUAAUUUAAAUGUCUUGAGUUCAAAUGUUUUAUGCACAUUCGAUCAACAUAUAAAACAUAAAAAAAAGUUACAUUCUAGUUUCAGGGCACAAAAAUAUCCCUCGUGUUAUUUUAAACACUCACUGAUCUGACAAUCAAACCAUUAUAAAAAUAUACAUGCAUUUAUCCCUGAAAUGAGCUAUUUUAAUAAUGAAUACAGUCCCUGUGUGUAUAACGCUUGUGGUAGGGACACUGCUCUGUCAUUAGGGGGCAGUAGUGUGUAGCUUUUGUCUUCACAGACCUUGAUUCAACUCUAUCAUAAUGAGGGGGAGAAAAAAACAUGUUAUUCUGUGUGAAAGACUGCCAAAGUUCUGAACUUUUGUUGAUUUUUAAAUUGUUAGAUGUGCUUGCAGAGGCUAUUUAUGUUUGUUAACCUUGUAGAAUAGUUAUGUGAAUUAGACCAUAAAUAAAUAAAUUAAUUAAAUGUACAAAACUGUCACUGGGGUGGUUCUCAAAAAUACUAAUAUGUAUUUUUAAAGUAUACCUAUGGGGUAAAU